CCUACGGGUGGCAGCAGUGGGGAAUAUUGGACAAUGGGCGAAAGCCUGAUCCAGCCAUGCCGCGUGUGUGAAGAAGGCCUUCGGGUUGUAAAGCACUUUCAGUGGGGAAGAAAGCCUUGGGGCUAAUACCCUCGAGGAAGGACAUCACCCACAGAAGAAGCACCGGCUAACUCCGUGCCAGCAGCCGCGGUAAUACGGAGGGUGCGAGCGUUAAUCGGAAUUACUGGGCGUAAAGCGCGCGUAGGCGGUCUGAUAAGCCGGUUGUGAAAGCCCCGGGCUCAACCUGGGAACGGCAUCCGGAACUGUCAGGCUAGAGUGCAGGAGAGGAAGGUAGAAUUCCCGGUGUAGCGGUGAAAUGCGUAGAUAUCGGGAGGAAUACCAGUGGCGAAGGCGGCCUUCUGGACUGACACUGACGCUGAGGUGCGAAAGCGUGGGUAGCAAACAGGAUUAGAUACCCCAGUAGUC
rnacentral:rRNA from 1 species